UCUACGGCCAUACCACCCCGAAUGCACCUGGUCUCGUCUGAUCUCAGAAGCUAAGCAGGGUCGGGCCUGGUUAGUCCUUGGAAGGGAGGAAUGAAUGAGAAAUCAAAACAUUCUCAGAU
rnacentral:rRNA from 1 species